GCUGUGGAACUCCUACGGGAGGCAGCAGUGGGGAAUUUUGGACAAUGGGGGCAACCCUGAUCCAGCAAUGCCGCGUGAGUGAAGAAGGCCUUAGGGUUGUAAAGCUCUUUUACCCGUGAUGAUAAUGACAGUAGCGGGAGAAUAAGCCCCGGCUAACUCCGUGCCAGCAGCCGCGGUAAUACGGAGGGGGCUAGCGUUGUUCGGAAUUACUGGGCGUAAAGCGCACGUAGGCGGCUUUGUAAGUUAGAGGUGAAAGCCUGGAGCUCAACUCCAGAACUGCCUUUAAGACUGCAUCGCUUGAGUCCAGGAGAGGUGAGUGGAAUUCCGAGUGUAGAGGUGAAAUUCGUAGAUAUUCGGAAGAACACCAGUGGCGCAGGCGGCUCACUGGACUGGUAUUGACGCUGAGGUGCGAGAGCGUGGGGAGCAAACAGGAUUAGAAACCCCGGUAGUCCUACCACGU
rnacentral:rRNA from 1 species